rnacentral:piRNA from 1 species
CCUUCCAAGCUGUUGCUACUUCUAAAC